rnacentral:tRNA from 1 species
GCCCAGAUAGCUCAGUUGGUAGAGCAGAGGAUUGAAAAUCCUCGUGUCGGUGGUUCGAUUCCGCCUCUGGGCA